rnacentral:rRNA from 1 species
GACGAGCUCCCCGAACGUUAUUCGGUAUUACUGGUCUUAAAGAGUUCGUAGGCGGUCUGACAGGUCAGGUGUGAAAUCCCUCGGCUCAACCGAGGAACUGCGCUUGAAACCGUUAGACUUGAGGGAGAUAGAGGUGAGCGGAACAGAUGGUGGAGCGGUGAAAUGCGUUGAUAUCAUCUGGAACACCGGUGGCGAAAGCGGCUCACUGGAUCUUUUCUGACGCUGAGGAACGAAAGCUAGGGUAGCGAACGGG